rnacentral:rRNA from 1 species
ACUUUAAUUGAAGAGUUUGAUCAUGGCUCAGAUUGAACGCUGGCGGCAGGCCUAACACAUGCAAGUCGAGCGGCAGCA